CUCAUUGAAUUUUUUAGUCAGGUUGGUGAAAGAUAUCACCAAGAUCACUGCAGUGUAUAUAGUCUCUAUUUUUGUAUGUAAAUGUCCGUUCAAGUAUUUUUUGCUUACAUCAUAGACUUGAGCAUAAUCCUAAAGGUAUAUCAGAAGCUUUGUUUUGGUACAAAUUCAUCAGCAUUAAACUUAAAAAAAAACAUUUGCGUCAAGAAUCACCAAUAAUUAUUUAUGACACUUUUAUGUCAAAUCUGUUGUGUUGAACCUUUAGUCAUGUUGGGAAAAUGUGGAAGAAAUUUUAGGAAAAGUAAUUGCCAUUGAAGCUAAUGUUAUAUAACCUUGAAUAUAAGAGUAAAUUAGGUAUUUUUUUUAAGAUAUGUAGUUUGGUAUAAAGUGACUUGAAAACUAUUAUUUGAUACAAAGCACUAUUAGAGUUUUUGUCAGCUGUCUCAGAUAAUAUUUCUAGUCUGUGUGAAAUUUUAUUUUUGUAGUUUUGCCUUUGUUUAUUUUCUUUAUGAAAUGUAUCAACUUUAGUGAAAUAUCAAGUGGUUAAUCAUAGCUAGAGAAGAUGCUUUGAUCAAACCAGCUAUUGACUUUUAUUUGGGGACCUGAAAAAAUGAGAGUGGUCGCACCUGUCCAGUUUUUAUCCAGUAUCUUUGGCCCAUUGCAUUCUGGCUAAAAUGACGUCAGCGUUUCAUCUGCCACCACAGUAAAACACCUU
rnacentral:lncRNA from 1 species